AUAAAACUAAUGUAAAAUUUAUAUAUUAAUAAGCAAGUUCUUAACAAAAGAAAAGUAGGAUAAAUAAUUUCUAAUUUUGUUUGAUAUUAAUUUUUUUCAAGGAAAAAAUUAUUUAGUUUAAUAUCUGUAUAUCAUUAACAAAAAUAAGCUAAAGGAAUUAAAAAAAGAAACAAAAGUUGUUGCUUCCAACCAGCAACAAGAUUCUAUAAACUGUGGCCUAACCAACUUGUCCAUAAUUUACAAAUGAUUGAAAAUGGGUGAUGCAAUCAAGGAACUCGAGAAUAA
rnacentral:misc_RNA from 1 species